GUCCCACUAGCUCAGCAGGAUAGAGCAACGGCCUUCUAAGCCGUCGGUCGGGAGUUCGAAUCUCUCCUGGGACGCCA
rnacentral:tRNA from 1 species